UGGGAGGGAGACAUCUGCCUCUGUUAUCCUCAGAAGGUCAGGUCUGUCUUGUUUGUUAUCUCCUGAAAGAUAUCAUCAAGGAUGUGACCGUGGUGAGUUUUUCGGACUCAGUACCAAGAUGGUUCACUGUCUCCUGGAAGCUAGAGGAGAUGAAUGCAUUAACCCGUUUACAGGAUAAUGAAUUUUUUUAUCACAAUAUUGAUCCCACUUAACUAUUCACAUUAUUUUUUGGACAUAGUGUCAUCUCACUGACAUAUAAUGAGGCGUGAUGUAAAAGUUUGCAAUAUAUACUAGGAUGGCUGUUAAAGUGAGCAGUUCAGGCAAAGUUUAUGUGUAGGGAAAUCCUGGAUCUACAUUACCCCAGUGACUGAUGUGAGCCUGCCCACUGUUGCACUUUUCACACCCUGGUUCUUUGAACAGAGGAGCCUCAGAUGACAAGUCAACAUGCGUCUCUUAACAAAAGAACUUUGUGUUUUCCCCUUUUCUUUGAAACUUUUUUUAUGUUGUACAUUUUGUUCUUGACCUGUGAUGUGCUGUGACACAACCAAAAGACACCAGUCAGUCCUCUGAAAAAAAAUAUUUAUAUCUAUAAUUUUCAGAGAUUUGCAGCUAGAUCUGGUAUGACUAGAAGUUUAUGGUUGCAAACAAUAAGUCACUGGGCAGGGAUGAACAAUUGAUGAUGAAAUACUGUUUUAAAUGUGUCCAUGCUAAACAGAGGCUUCAUAACUAGUAUGGGCUCUACCUCAAAUAUAUCACUUUUUCCCCUUUGAUUUUCUAUUGAGUUGUUUUUAUUGGUGUUAAAACAGUAAAAUACUGUAAUUUUAUAUUAUGAUAAUUGGUAACCCUUAAAAAACUUCAAAUCAUGGCUUUCAACUCCAGGUAAUUAUUCAAGUUGGACUUUUGGCUCUAUUAAAGAGAAAAAGGUUGUUUUAGUUAUUUCCCAAAAGUUAAAAAAGAAAAAAAAAACAUGUUAAAUGUUUGGCUAAUUUACAGCUGAACAAAAAUGAUCAACUUUAAGGUUCCGACAAUAUAAACACACUUGAGAUACAACAGCUUUAAAAGGAGCUUUAAUUCGUCCACACUAACAUGAUACAUCAUUUGGAUUUACUCAAACCAUCAGCAAAAGUGCUUCACAUGGUUAUAAGGCUCCAUACUUCAACAUAAGUUAUAUACUCUGGAUAGACAGAUAAAGGCAACACAACUGCAUCACACCGUAAAAAAGUACUUGUAAAGAAGAACCAUGAAGUGACACACAAUCAGACUGCUGGUGUAUGUGAUCCCUGAAUGUGUCACAGCAGCAGUGUUGGCAGUGGAGUUUGUGGUGGAGUUUGAUGCUGUGGCUGCUGUUGCUGCUGUGUUGGUCGCUGCUGUGUUGGUCGCUGCUGUGUUAGUCGCUGCUGUGUUGGCCGCUGCUGUGGUCUCAGCCGCACUCUUAGUGGCUGUGGCAGUCCCACCCGCUGUGGUGCCUCCUGCAGUGGUGGCUGCAACUGUUGUGUCUGCUGAGGUUACUGACGCUGUGUACAUCGAUGAUUAAAAACGUCAUUAUAGGAGAGGUCUGUAUCCUUUUUCCACUGUUAGCUGUCAUUUAGAAGUAAAAUUUCUUACUUACCCAUGAUCAAGAGCUGUGUCAGAAUCAUCAAAAACAUUGUAAAUCCUGGUUUCAUCUUCAGGAAUUUAGGUAAAGGUCCAGCGAUUUCCCUAAAGCACAGGCCAUAAACAUAUUAUCAGCUAUUUUUUUUUACACAUAAACAUAAGAAGGCACAAAGUCUCUGAAGUUUCGUUUACCUGUGUGUUACUCUGCCUCUUCAGCUCUCUCGUCUCUGGUUUGUCAGCUCAUUCUCUGACUUUGUGGCUGGUUUUAUACAGUCAAAGACAGCCAUGAAUAAUGAUGUGAGAGACACCUUUCUCUCUCCAUACAUGACAGAUGAUCAUUCCUUCCAUUUUAUUCACCACAGUUGGUAAAAAGUUGCUUUGUUAAUACGUCCACUACAACUGCAAGGGCCAACAAAGCAAACAGACUGCUGACGAGCCAAAGGAGGUGUCUGACAGUGUGACACAAAGAGAGCAGUGUGUGAGUGACAAUUUUGAGUUAUCUGUCCAUAGCUGUUCGGGAAAAACUCAAACAAUGAUUGUUUCAAGUCGAGUUUGUGGUAUGAGAAAAAGCAGGGUGUCUUUGUCAUAGAACAUUUACUCUGCUAUUUCUGGCGAACAUACAAUACAGUUCGCCAUCUUGUGAUGCAUUUCUUUAUGUAGAUGCUAUGUUAAAAAUGUAUGUGAAGGAUGUUGUUGUUUGAGGUCACAGGUGAAGUAACAGGUGCAGCUCAAAAAUCACAAUGUCCCCCAAAAAGUUCAUUUCUUUUCUCAGAAUCUAACUAAAAAGUUAAAUUUCCAUAAAUUGAAAUAUUUCACGACUUUUUUGGAUUGAAUCUUGAUGAUUAGGACUUACAGAUCACAAAAAUCUACUGUCUCAAAAUAUUACAAUAUUGUGGAAAAGUCCAGUUUCUUGUGAGUUAUUUCAGAGCUUUCAUCAGCUAACUCUUACUGAGCCUUUCUUUUCUCACUCUGAUUCAUCAAGAGCCACUGAACACAAACGUGUCCAGGAAAUGGGCCAAAAGUCUUGUGUUCCUACUCUGAAGCCACUCCUGAACCAGAGACGUCACCUUUCUCACCCGGACAAAGAGGAAAGACAACUGGACUGUUGCUCAGUGGUACAAAAUGCUGUUUUCAGAUGAAAGUUUACUUUGCAUCCCAUUUGGAAAUCAAAAUCCCAGAGUCUGGAGGAUCAGAGAGGGACAGAAUCUAGGGUAAUGUUAGUUUUACUCUCUCGAGGAUCUCUGGAGUAUCCUCAGGAGAAAGACAGCUGUGCGAAUAAUACAGACAAGCUGAGGUAGCUAUCAAAGAAAUCUGGACUUCCAAAACAUUCCAGCAGAGCCACAGACUGAUUGCCUCCAUGCCACAUUACAGUGAUGCAGUGAUUUGCACAAAAGGAGUCCUGUCCAAGUACUGAGUGUGUAAAUGAACAUCAUUUUCCAUGAGGUUUACAUUUCUGUAAGAUAAAUCCUAUUUUUAUGAUUGGUGUUUUGUUCCUUUUUGAGAUAGUGAAUUUUUGACCCUCUCCGACUGUAACCAUGCACAACAGUGCUAAUACCAGUUUCAGGAGGUCCUUUGUCAUAAAAAGAUCUAAAGAGAGGGUAAAUAUGUGCAUGUUUGUGGAUGUUUAUACCUUCAUUAUACCACCUUAUAGAAGAGAAGUGGCUUUAGCUGUCAGUGUUCAAUGCAGGAUGAUGGAAAAAGGGGAAUAAGGGUUUAGAUUUAACUGUGUUAAAGGGACAUUCCGGUGUAAAAUAAUUUAGGAUCAAACACACCAAAACACAGAGUUAGACAGCCCCUCCAGAGAUGAAUGUUGCUGACCGCUUGCUUCUGUAGUUAUACCAACUUUAGUAACGACCGCAGGAGAGCAAUACACAGCGGUCUCAGGAGCCACAAACAAACCUCAACCAAAACGCCACUCUAUAGGCACAAAUAAUGCUCAGAACAGCACCUAACUUCAUCAAAAGUACAUAUAGGGUCCCAGCCACAGCACUAGCCGCCAAACAUCUUUUUAACUUUGCCUGAUUUCUUUAGCAAAGAGAUUAAACACAACUCACCUACUCUCUUCCAGCAGCCGCUUGUUUGUAUGGAGACCUCGGACAAGUCCAUUAUGGACUACAGCGGGGUGACGUAGCUCAAGGAAGAAAAUUUUGGUAAUUUCUUCAUGGAAAAACAAUCAGACCGAGAUGUUAAGGCAGAAGAACUACCGUGUCUGCAGUGCAAAAUGAUUUAUAUGAUGAUAAUUACUUCAAGGAAAUAAUUAAAUAAUGAUAUAUGGUAUAACUAGAGAAGCAAGCGGUC